rnacentral:rRNA from 2 species
UACGUAGGUGGCGAGCGUUGUCCGGAAUUAUUGGGCGUAAAGAGCGCGUAGGCGGGAAGAUAAGUCUACUUUAAAAGUGCGGGGCUCACCCCCGUGAUGGGGUAGAAACUAUCUUUCUUGAGUGCCGGAGAGGAAAGCGGAAUUCCCAGUGUAGCGGUGAAAUGCGUAGAUAUUGGGAGGAACACCAGUGGCGAAGGCGGCUUUCUGGACGGUGUCUGACGCUGAGGCGCGAAAGCCAGGGGAGCGAACGGG